rnacentral:rRNA from 1 species
UACGUAGGGUGCGAGCGUUGUCCGGAAUUAUUGGGCGUAAAGAGCUCGUAGGCGGCUUGUCGCGUCGACUGUGAAAAACCACGACUCAACCGUGGGACUGCAGUCGAUACGGGCAGGCUAGAGUUCGGUAGGGGAGACUGGAAAUUCCUGGUGUAGCGGUGAAAUGCGCAGAUAUCGGGAGGAACACCGGUGGCGAAGGCGGUUCUCUGGGCCUUACCUGACGCUGAGGAGCGAAAGCGUGGGGAGCGAACAGG